UCUACAACAUGUCGAACCCAAAUUAAAAUGCCCUAGGAAAACAUCAACAUACUAUCUCAAUGAUUGUCAUUCAGAAAAGUGUAUAUCAAACUUUCAAUAUUUGAUAUCUAAACAUUACUACUUGAUAGAGAUGUAGUUAGAUGUUUAUGCUUUGCUCGUAAGCAGACUUCUUGCCUAUCAUUCAUCAACCUCACAAAAGCUACAGACCGUAACUUUUUCCCAUGAGAAACACUUAAAGUUGAUUCAUCCAAAGACAUUGUCUUCAGUCUCAGACCAAAAACCUCAUAACUAAAUUUAGAAUUAUGAAGGAUCUUCUAAAGGCUUUGUAAGGAACUCCUUUCUUUUAGUCAAAUACUGACAUGGGACCUACAUCAGUUCAAUCCCAACCUGCCUACAGAAGUAUAGGUUGAUAAUAGAAAGAUCAUAAGCAAGGCACCAAAAGCAUACCUCUUCUUUUG
rnacentral:misc_RNA from 1 species